GGCGGCGUGCCUAACACAUGCAAGUCGAGCGAUCUCUUCGGAGAGAGCGGCGGACGGGUGAGUAACGCGUGGGUAACCUGCCCUGUACACACGGAUAACAUACCGAAAGGUAUACUAAUACGGGAUAACAUACGAAAGUCGCAUGGUUUUUGUAUCAAAGCUCCGGCGGUACAGGAUGGACCCGCGUCUGAUUAGCUAGUUGGUAAGGUAAUGGCUUACCAAGGCAACGAUCAGUAGCCGACCUGAGAGGGUGAUCGGCCACACUGGAACUGAGACACGGUCCAGACUCCUACGGGAGGCAGCAGUGGGGAAUAUUGCACAAUGGGCGAAAGCCUGAUGCAGCAACGCCGCGUGAGCGAUGAAGGCCUUCGGGUCGUAAAGCUCUGUCCUCAAGGAAGAUAAUGACGGUACUUGAGGAGGAAGCCCCGGCUAACUACGUGCCAGCAGCCGCGGUAAUACGUAGGGGGCUAGCGUUAUCCGGAAUUACUGGGCGUAAAGGGUGCGUAGGUGGUUUUUUAAGUCAGAAGUGAAAGGCUACGGCUCAACCGUAGUAAGCUUUUGAAACUAGAGAACUUGAGUGCAGGAGAGGAGAGUAGAAUUCCUAGUGUAGCGGUGAAAUGCGUAGAUAUUAGGAGGAAUACCAGUAGCGAAGGCGGCUCUCUGGACUGUAACUGACACUGAGGCACGAAAGCGUGGGAGCAAACAGGAUUAGAUACCCUGGUAGUCCACGCCGUAAACGAUGAGUACUAGGUGUCGGGGGUUACCCCCCUCGGUGCCGCAGCUAACGCAUUAAGUACUCCGCCUGGGAAGUACGCUCGCAAGAGUGAAACUCAAAGGAAUAGACGGGGACCCGCACAAGUAGCGGAGCAUGUGGUUUAAUUCGAAGCAACGCGAAGAACCUUACCUAAGCUUGACAUCCCACUGACCUCUCCCUAAUCGGAGAUUUCCCUUCGGGGACAGUGGUGACAGGUGGUGCAUGGUUGUCGUCAGCUCGUGUCGUGAGAUGUUGGGUUAAGUCCCGCAACGAGCGCAACCCUUGCCUUUAGUUGCCAGCAUUAAGUUGGGCACUCUAGAGGGACUGCCGAGGAUAACUCGGAGGAAGGUGGGGAUGACGUCAAAUCAUCAUGCCCCUUAUGCUUAGGGCUACACACGUGCUACAAUGGGUGGUACAGAGGGUUGCCAAGCCGCGAGGUGGAGCUAAUCCCUUAAAGCCAUUCUCAGUUCGGAUUGUAGGCUGAAACUCGCCUACAUGAAGCUGGAGUUACUAGUAAUCGCAGAUCAGAAUGCUGCGGUGAAUGCGUUCCCGGGUCUUGUACACACCGCCCGUCACACCAUGGAAGUUGGGGGCGCCCGAAGCCGGUUAGCUAACCUUUUAGGAAGCGGCCGUCGAAGG
rnacentral:rRNA from 1 species